GCUACCAGCGUAAGAGAAGGCUGAUGGGGGAUAUAUUUAUUUGGUUCAAGAAACAUCAAAAGUCCAGUUGGAUUCUGUCAGCAGAAAGUCAUCUGUUCCAGAGAAAACCUAACCUCAGCAGGAUGAGGGUGGAGUCACCUGAUCCUACUGGGAGGUUAACCCUCUUCUGGAGGGUUGGAGUAGAUCACUUCCAGAGCUUCCUCAGCCCCAGUUCCUGCUGUGGUUCCAGGGCUCUAUGAGAGUAAUCAGCUAAAUAACAUCCACUUAUGUAAAGGAUCCUUUUUCUUUCUUGGGGAAUUUAUGUCUGGAGGUGUCAUUGACAUUUGGAGCCAACAUUCAUGCCUGAACAGCUACUUUCUAAAUACAUUUAAACAAAAGACAAAAGCAGUCAUUACUUUGGAGUUUCUUUUUUUUUAAAUGGAUUCAUACCUUCUGGGGACAAGAGAUAAAUGAAACUAAAUGAAAGACAAAGGAUCACAAUCUAUUAAUGAGAAGAAUUGUUUAUGGCUUUUGACUGCACUACCACAAUGUACUUAAUGGGCAGUACUGAUUCCAGCCUUGUCUUCAAAACCUUUUUCAGAAGACAUGGAUAAUAUGCAAAUACUUCACACAGUCAAAGGACAUGAAAA